rnacentral:rRNA from 1 species
AAUAAGCGGAGGAAAAGAAACUAACAAGGAUUCCCCUAGUAGCGGCGAGCGAAGCGGGAAGAGCUCAAAUUUAUAAUCUGGCACCUUCGGUGUCCGAGUUGUAAUCUCUAGAAGUGUUUUCCGCGUUGGACCGCACACAAGUCUGUUGGAAUACAGCGGCACAGUGGUGAUACCCCCGUACACGGUGCGGACGCCCAGCGCUUUGUGAUACACUUUCAAUGAGUCGAGUUGUUUGGGAAUGCAGCUCAAAUUGGGUGGUAAAUUCCAUCUAAAGCUAAAUAUUGGCGAGAGACCGAUAGCGAACAAGUACCGUGAGGGAAAGAUGAAAAGCACUUUGGAAAGAGAGUUAACAGUACGUGAAAUUGUUGGAAGGGAAACGCUUGAAGUCAGACUUGCUUGCCGGAGCUUGCUUCGGUUUGCAGGCCAGCAUCAGUUUUCCGGGGUGGAUAAUGGUGGUUUGAAGGUAGCAGCCUCGGCUGUGUUAUAGCUUUCCACUGGAUACAUCCUGGGGGACUGAGGAACGCAGCGUGCUUUUUGCGAAGGUUUCGACCUUUUCACGCUUAGGAUGCUGGUGUAAUGACUUUAAACGACCCGUCUUGAAA